AUGCAGUCGAGCGGAACGAGUUAUCUGAACCUUCGGGGAACGAUAACGGCGUCGAGCGGCGGACGGGUGAGUAAUGCCUAGGAAAUUGCCCUGAUGUGGGGGAUAACCAUUGGAAACGAUGGCUAAUACCGCAUAAUGCCUACGGGCCAAAGAGGGGGACCUUCGGGCCUCUCGCGUCAGGAUAUGCCUAGGUGGGAUUAGCUAGUUGGUGAGGUAAGGGCUCACCAAGGCGACGAUCCCUAGCUGGUCUGAGAGGAUGAUCAGCCACACUGGAACUGAGACACGGUCCAGACUCCUACGGGAGGCAGCAGUGGGGAAUAUUGCACAAUGGGCGCAAGCCUGAUGCAGCCAUGCCGCGUGUGUGAAGAAGGCCUUCGGGUUGUAAAGCACUUUCAGUCGUGAGGAAGGUAGUGUAGUUAAUAGCUGCAUUAUUUGACGUUAGCGACAGAAGAAGCACCGGCUAACUCCGUGCCAGCAGCCGCGGUAAUACGGAGGGUGCGAGCGUUAAUCGGAAUUACUGGGCGUAAAGCGCAUGCAGGUGGUUUGUUAAGUCAGAUGUGAAAGCCCGGGGCUCAACCUCGGAAUUGCAUUUGAAACUGGCAGACUAGAGUACUGUAGAGGGGGGUAGAAUUUCAGGUGUAGCGGUGAAAUGCGUAGAGAUCUGAAGGAAUACCGGUGGCGAAGGCGGCCCCCUGGACAGAUACUGACACUCAGAUGCGAAAGCGUGGGGAGCAAACAGGAUUAGAUACCCUGGUAGUCCACGCCGUAAACGAUGUCUACUUGGAGGUUGUGGCCUUGAGCCGUGGCUUUCGGAGCUAACGCGUUAAGUAGACCGCCCUGGGGGAGUACGGUCGCAAGAUUAAAACUCAAAUGAAUUUGACGGGGGGGCCCGCACAAGCGGUGGAGCAUGUGGGUUUAAUUUCGAUGCAACGCGAAGAACCUUACCUACUCUUGACAUCCAGAGAAACUUUUCCAGA
rnacentral:rRNA from 1 species